CGGUGAAGGUUUUUACACCUAGUUAAAAAUGGCUGCGCCCUUGAUUUCAUGUCGCCACCUGGUUAAAUUUGGUUUACGGACGAAAUCAUGGAAUGCUGCAUGCUGUGCGAGGAAGCUGCAUCUCCAAGAAUACCAGAGCAAAUCUCUCAUGAGGGGCCAUGAUAUUGAGGUGCAACACUUUGAAGUGGUCGACAAUCACUGGGAUGCAAAAACGGUCCCAUCCAGAUUAAAUGCUGCUGAGUAUGUGAUCAAGGCUCAGAUCUUGGCAGGUGGCAGGGGAAAGGGGACGUUCUCCAAUGGAUUCAAGGGGGGAGUCCAGCUCACAAAGGACCCAGAGCAGGUGCCAAAGCUGGUUGAGAAGAUGGUCGGAGAGCGACUUGUCACCAAACAGACACCGGCCAACGGUGUGCUUGUGAAGAAGGUGAUGGUUGCCGAGGCCUUGGACAUCGCCAGGGAGACCUAUCUGGCCAUCUUGCUGGACCGGGCGUACAACGGACCCGUCAUUGUGGGCAGCAGCCAGGGUGGCAUGGACAUCGAGGAAGUGGCAGAGAAAAAUCCUGAUGCAAUCUUUAAGGAGCCAGUGGACAUUAUGGAAGGACUGAGUCCGGAAACUGCCAGGUCCGUGGCCAUGAAGCUGGGAUUCCAGGGACCACGCUUGGAAAAGGCAGCUGACCAGGUGAUGAAGCUGUACGAGAUGUUUAUUGACGUGGAUGCUACACAGAUUGAGAUCAACCCCUUCGCUGAAACACCCUGUGGACGAGUCGUGUGCUUCGAUGCGAAGAUCAAUUUUGAUGACAACGCAGCCUACCGUCAGAAGGAGAUAUUCGCGAUGGACGACCUUUCUGAACUGGACCCCAGAGAGAAGGAAGCGGAAGAACAUCACCUUAACUAUGUCGGCCUUGAGGGCAACAUCGGAUGUCUAGUGAAUGGUGCAGGACUCGCCAUGGCAACCAUGGACAUAAUUAAGCUAUAUGGGGGAAAGCCAGCAAACUUCCUCGAUGUGGGGGGAGGUGUCACAGAGAAGCAAGUUUAUGAAGCAUUCCAUAUCCUCACUGCAGACGCUCAUGUGAAAUCGAUCUUGAUCAAUGUGUUUGGUGGCAUUGUGAAUUGCGUGACGAUGGCAAAUGGCAUCAUUAGGGCCUAUAGAGAUGCCCACAUGACUGUACCCAUGGUUGUCAGACUGGAAGGUAGUGUUGUGUAACCUCGUACCCAUGGUUGUCAGACUGGAAGGUAGUGUUGUGUAACCUUGUACCCAUGGUUGUCAGACUGGAAGGUAGUGUCGUGUAACCUUGUACCCAUUGUUGUCAGACUGGAAGGUAGUGUUGUGUCACCUUAUACCCAUGGUUGUCAGACUGGAAGGUAGUGUUGUGUAACCUUGUACCCAUGGUUGUCAGACUGGAAGGUAGUGUUGUGUAACCUUGUACCCAUGGUUGUCAGACUGGAAGGUCAAAAUGCCAAGAAAGCCUUGGAUAUUCUGAAGGAGAGUGGUCUCCCCAUCAUCACGGCCACUGACAUGGCAGACGCCGCGGAGAAGGUUGUCGCCACACUUCCCAAAUCCUGAUGUACAGGCACCGUGCUCCAGUGGGCGGGAACGGGACUUUGUGAUAUCUUUGUAUUCAGAAUAUGUUUUGCUAGAUUAUUUUUACAUAGCUUGACAAUGUUAUCCUUACACUGAUCAUGCCCAUGAAUUUAUAUAUAUAUAUAUAUAUAUAUAUAUAUAUAUAUAUAUAUAUAUAUAUAUAUAUAUAUAUAUAUAUAUAUAUAUAUAAUACUGUCAGGGGGAAAGCAAUACUUUCUGUGCUGAAUAGAAAAUGGGUAAAAUAGGAAAAUGAAAUCCCACUAACUUGCUGGUAUGUUGUCAUUUAUUGACUUAAACACAUGCACAAAUAAAGUGGUUUAUAAUAUAGGACACAAAUCAAACGUGUAAUUUAUGCUAAUAGAGUUCACAUUAAACAUGUCAAUGUAGGCAAGCUAUACUAGUCUUUUUAUAUGCAUUUAGUUUAAGUGACAAUAGUAUGUUUGUAUAUGAUGGUAUUUUAUGAAUUUAUUGUCGUCAAAUGGAGGGUGUAUGGGGAUACAUUUGUAUCAAAUGACAUAACCAUGAGCAGCCCUCUGCGAAAAUAGGGCUUAAUGAAUAUGCUUUAACCCUUUGCAUGCUUGGAAAUUUGUCAUCUGCUAAAAUGUCGUCUGCUGAAUUUCUUAAAUUAGCAUUUUCUUUGAUUUUUUUCAAAGAAAACUAUCAGAAUAGCAAACAGUUUGGAUCCUGAUGAGACGCCAAGUUCUGUGGCGUCUCAUCUGGAUCCAAACUGUUUGCAAAGGUCUUCAAAAUCCGGUUCCCACACUGAAAGAGUUAAGAAUGUAUAUUUCUCUAGUCAGGGAUAAAUGCUUACUAUACAUUUAUCUGACAUGAAUAAUCCAUUUUGACAAUCAUCCAAAGAGGAGGAAGUUCUUUAGCAAACGUUGUUAUCAAACGUGUAAAAAUGUCUGCCAAUGGCCUUUAUGGAACUGUGUAAUAAAGGAUAUUAAUCCUCUAUGAUUCCCACGACUCAAGCAUUUGUAUACACUCGGGAGCCAUAUGAGUCUCUUUCUGGGAAAUUUGGGCUUGAUGCAUUUGAGUAAAGUGUCGUCCUAGAUAAGCCUGUGCAGGCAGCACAGGCUUACAGAGACAACACUAACAAGACCUUAAAUGGAUUUUUUCUUAGAAGAGACUUCCUUUCAAUGAAAAAUGACAUAAAAGCAGAAAGUUAUUUCACUGAGUAGCCUGUGAGGACUGCACAGGCUAAUCUGGGAAGACACUAAAGGCACAUGCAUUAAGCCCAGUUUUCCCAGAGCAAAGCUCAUUUUAUAGUAAAAACCUUGUCAGUUCAUCUGUACGCCAGUAUUAAGAUUGAACUAUUUUGUCCAGCACAACUAACCCCACUUGAACUCGUUUUGGACACUGUUUAUUAUUCAAGAUCAAUGCUAAUCCAUCCAUAUCACCCAGCAUUAUAUAACCCAGUGCCACUUUUACCUUGAACUAAUUUUAUUUUUAAAUAAUUAGAUUGCUUUAUAUGUUUGCUUUCAGAUUGUUAUGUUGCAUUUAGUGCCAGCACUGUAGGAUGGAACUGUUGGAAACUUUAUACCUCAUUCUUAUGACCAUUCCUAAUACACUCGUAUCACCCAACCUCACUUUACUCUUGACUUUAUUCAGGCUUCAUUGGUCAUUGUCUGCUCGGUUACUACUUAAAUGUACCCUUGGUACUCUUGUAAGUGUACGUACAUUUACCCCGGGUAUGGGAAAUAUACUUAAACGUACCCGGCCCAUUAAGACUGCAACAGAGUUUUAUUCCUGCCCAAAAUCGGAUGUCCUAAAACACGCCUCGGAACACGAAACAAAACCUGUUUCAAAAUUCUUUUUAUGUCUCCCAGUCUAUACUGGGGGACAAAUUGUUUUUGCCCUGUCUGUUUGUGUGUUUUUUUGUUCGCCUCAAACUUUAACAUUGGCCAUAACUUUUGCAAUAUUAAAGGUAGCAACUUGAUAUUUGGCAUGCAUGUGUUUCUCAUGGAGCUGCACAUUUUGAGUGUUGAAAGGUCAAGGUCAUCCUUCAAGGAUAAAAAGGUCAAAUAUAUGGGUUUCACAAACACAUUUGGUUUGAGUAUGAUUUUCGCUAAUAAAGUGGACAUUUUACAAAAUAUUAAUAUAAAUAUGAACAAUUUAGAGUUUUUUUUCCCUUGUUCGUUUUAGUAUAUUAAAAAAAGAACAGGGUACAUUUAAGUAUAUUUUAGAGAACACGGGAUACAUUUAAUAGUAGCCGACAAUGAACAAUCGAGCUAGAAAAAGCAGUCACAAGAACAGCAUUAUCAUCCACUGAGUACGUUGUUUCAUGUAAAUCAAAGUUUAUUUGUUACAUAAUUAUGUCAUGAUCUCAGGAUCAUUUUCAAAGCCUGCUAUCCGUUGUGUUUAUUAUGAUUAUAAAUAUUAAUUAAGGAAAUCAUAAAGUUACCUUGAAUGUGUCCAUAUUUUGUAACUGCCUUUGUAAAAUAAAUAAAUAAAUUUACUAGAAUAUAAAAA